UACGAAGGGGGCUAGCGUUGUUCGGAAUUACUGGGCGUAAAGCGCGCGCAGGCGGUUUUCCAAGUCAGUGGUGAAAGCCCGGAGCUCAACUCCGGAAUUGCCAUUGAAACUGUUAAACUUGAGUACGAGAGAGGUGAGUGGAAUUCCCAGUGUAGAGGUGAAAUUCGUAGAUAUUGGGAAGAACACCGGUGGCGAAGGCGGCUCACUGGCUCGUAACUGACGCUCAGGCGCGAUAGCGUGGGGAUCAAACAGG
rnacentral:rRNA from 1 species